UUAAGCGACUAAGCGUACACGGUGGAUGCCCUGGCAGUCAGAGGCGAUGAAGGACGUGCUAAUCUGCGAAAAGCGUCGGUAAGGUGAUAUGAACCGUUAUAACCGGCGAUGUCCGAAUGGGGAAACCCAGUGUGAUUCGUCACACUAUCGUUAACUGAAUACAUAGGUUAACGAGGCGAACCGGGGGAACUGAAACAUCUAAGUACCCCGAGGAAAAGAAAUCAACCGAGAUUCCCCCAGUAGCGGCGAGCGAACGGGGAGCAGCCCAGAGUCUGAAUCAGCUUGUGUGUUAGUGGAACGGUCUGGAAAGUCCGACGGUACAGGGUGAUAGUCCCGUACACCAAAAUGCACAGGUUGUGAACUCGAAGAGUAGGGCGGGACACGUGGUAUCCUGUCUGAAUAUGGGGGGACCAUCCUCCAAGGCUAAAUACUCCUGACUGACCGAUAGUGAACCAGUACCGUGAGGGAAAGGCGAAAAGAACCCCGGCGAGGGGAGUGAAAAAGAACCUGAAACCGUGUACGUACAAGCAGUGGGAGCACCUUCGGGUGUGACUGCGUACCUUUUGUAUAAUGGGUCAGCGACUUAUAUUCUGUAGCAAGGUUAACCGUAUAGGGGAGCCGCAGGGAAACCGAGUCUUAACUGGGCGUUAAGUUGCAGGGUAUAGACCCGAAACCCGGUGAUCUAGCCAUGGGCAGGUUGAAGGUUGGGUAACACUAACUGGAGGACCGAACCGACUAAUGUUGAAAAAUUAGCGGAUGACUUGUGGCUGGGGGUGAAAGGCCAAUCAAACCGGGAGAUAGCUGGUUCUCCCCGAAAGCUAUUUAGGUAGCGCCUCGUGAACUCAUCUUCGGGGGUAGAGCACUGUUUCGGCUAGGGGGUCAUCCCGACUUACCAACCCGAUGCAAACUACGAAUACCGAAGAAUGUUAUCACGGGAGACACACGGCGGGUGCUAACGUCCGUCGUGAAGAGGGAAACAACCCAGACCGCCAGCUAAGGUCCCAAAGUCAUGGUUAAGUGGGAAACGAUGUGGGAAGGCACAGACAGCCAGGAUGUUGGCUUAGAAGCAGCCAUCAUUUAAAGAAAGCGUAAUAGCUCACUGGUCGAGUCGGCCUGCGCGGAAGAUGUAACGGGGCUAAACCAUGCACCGAAGCUGCGGCAGCGACACUAUGUGUUGUUGGGUAGGGGAGCGUUCUGUAAGCCUGCGAAGGUGACCUGUGAGGGUUGCUGGAGGUAUCAGAAGUGCGAAUGCUGACAUAAGUAACGAUAAAGCGGGUGAAAAGCCCGCUCGCCGGAAGACCAAGGGUUCCUGUCCAACGUUAAUCGGGGCAGGGUGAGUCGACCCCUAAGGCGAGGCCGAAAGGCGUAGUCGAUGGGAAACAGGUUAAUAUUCCUGUACUUGGUGUUACUGCGAAGGGGGGACGGAGAAGGCUAUGUUAGCCGGGCGACGGUUGUCCCGGUUUAAGCAUGUAGGCUGAUUAUCCAGGCAAAUCCGGAUAAUCAAGGCUGAGGUGUGAUGACGAGGCACUACGGUGCUGAAGUAACAAAUGCCCUGCUUCCAGGAAAAGCCUCUAAGCAUCAGGUAACAUCAAAUCGUACCCCAAACCGACACAGGUGGUCAGGUAGAGAAUACCAAGGCGCUUGAGAGAACUCGGGUGAAGGAACUAGGCAAAAUGGUGCCGUAACUUCGGGAGAAGGCACGCUGGUGUGUAGGUGAAGCCCCUGCGGGUGGAGCUGAGACCAGUCGAAGAUACCAGCUGGCUGCAACUGUUUAUUAAAAACACAGCACUGUGCAAACACGAAAGUGGACGUAUACGGUGUGACGCCUGCCCGGUGCCGGAAGGUUAAUUGAUGGGGUCAUCCGUAAGGAGAAGCUCUUGAUCGAAGCCCCGGUAAACGGCGGCCGUAACUAUAACGGUCCUAAGGUAGCGAAAUUCCUUGUCGGGUAAGUUCCGACCUGCACGAAUGGCGUAAUGAUGGCCAGGCUGUCUCCACCCGAGACUCAGUGAAAUUGAACUCGCUGUGAAGAUGCAGUGUACCCGCGGCAAGACGGAAAGACCCCGUGAACCUUUACUAUAGCUUGACACUGAACAUUGAGCCUUGAUGUGUAGGAUAGGUGGGAGGCUUUGAAGCGUGGACGCCAGUCUGCGUGGAGCCAACCUUGAAAUACCACCCUUUAAUGUUUGAUGUUCUAACGUUGGCCCCUUACCGGGGUUGCGGACAGUGUCUGGUGGGUAGUUUGACUGGGGCGGUCUCCUCCCAAAGCGUAACGGAGGAGCACGAAGGUUAGCUAAUCCUGGUCGGACAUCAGGAGGUUAGUGCAAUGGCAUAAGCUAGCUUGACUGCGAGCGUGACGGCGCGAGCAGGUGCGAAAGCAGGUCAUAGUGAUCCGGUGGUUCUGAAUGGAAGGGCCAUCGCUCAACGGAUAAAAGGUACUCCGGGGAUAACAGGCUGAUACCGCCCAAGAGUUCAUAUCGACGGCGGUGUUUGGCACCUCGAUGUCGGCUCAUCACAUCCUGGGGCUGAAGUAGGUCCCAAGGGUAUGGCUGUUCGCCAUUUAAAGUGGUACGCGAGCUGGGUUUAGAACGUCGUGAGACAGUUCGGUCCCUAUCUGCCGUGGGCGCUGGAGAAUUGAGGGGGGCUGCUCCUAGUACGAGAGGACCGGAGUGGACGCAUCACUGGUGUUCGGGUUGUCAUGCCAAUGGCACUGCCCGGUAGCUAAAUGCGGAAGAGAUAAGUGCUGAAAGCAUCUAAGCACGAAACUUGCCCCGAGAUGAGUUCUCCCUGAGACUUUAAGUCUCCUGAAGGAACGUUAAAGACGAUGACGUUGAUAGGCCGGGUGUGUAAGCGCAGCGAUGCGUUGAGCUAACCGGUACUAAUGAACCGUGAGGCUUAACCUU
rnacentral:rRNA from 1 species